ensembl:lncRNA
GCAGACAGAGCGAUCCAUCUCUCCGUUGCUCCGCCCCGCCGCGCUGAUGCGCUCAUUGGCGAGUUCGCGGCACUGCGCAUGCCCUCCCUCGCGUAUCGUUCCCGCAGCCUCUCGGAUUGGCGUGAAGCCGCCAAAGGCGGCCAGGGGAGCCGUGCAGAAAACGAGACUACGCGUGGGCUUCGCCCGGACGCCUGCCGGAUCAUGGCCAAGACCAAGCCGCGGAUCCUGCCUUGGUUGCGGGAGCAGCUGGACUCGGGGCUCCUGGGGGCGGUGUGGAUCAAUGAAGAGCGCACGCUCUUCUACAUCCCCUGAAGCUACAGGCUCCCGCCAGGACCUACAGGAGGACGAUUUCCGCAUCUUCCAGGCGUGGGCGGAGGCCAGCGGCAGCUACCGGCCCGGCAUCGACGCCCCGGACCCAGCCACCUGGAAGCGGAAUUUUCGGCGCGCUGGACCGCAAGAAGAACCUCCGCGUGCUCAGCAACCGCAGCCGGGACUCGCAGAAUCCGCACAAGAUCUACGAGUUCUUGCCCGAGGUCGGGGAGGGCAGGAGUCCCGGCCCAGCCGCCCGAGCCCGAGGAGCAGGUGAGGGUCCCGGUGGGGCAGGAAUGGCCCCGACCCAGCCGCCUCCCCGGGUGCCACCUGUGCCUCUCUCCCACAGGAGGCCAUCCAGGAUAUCCUGAAGACGCUGACCCUGUCCCG